GCCGGGUGCGGUGGCGCGUGCCUGUUGUCCCAGCUAAUUGGGAGGCUGAGGUUAGAGGAUCCCUUGAGCCCAGGCGUUCUGGGCUGUAGUGCGCUAUGCGGAUCGGGUGUCCGCACUAAGUUCGGCAAAAGUAUGGUGACCUCCCGGGAGCGAGGGACCACCAGGUUGCCUAAGGAGGGGUGAACCGGCCCAGGUCGGAAACGGAGCAGGUCAAAACUCCCGUGCUGAUCAGUAAUGGGAUCCCGCCUGUGAAUAGCCACUGCACUCCAGCCUGGGCAACAUAGCAAGACCCUGUCUGUU
ensembl:misc_RNA Metazoa_SRP Metazoan signal recognition particle RNA